GGAAAGUAGGAUGAGACUCUUAGUCCAACAAUUUGGUGACCCCGACGUGAUGAAGACGGAGAAGUGACGGAAUAAAGACAACUAUUCAGCGGAGGACGACAGUAUCGUGACAACACUUGGCCGGCCUGAGAAAAAGCUUUCUCCAAACAGGUGACAGCAGCUCGGGAGGGAGCAGAAGGAAAGGGGCACCCAACAUCAGAGUGGGUCCUGCUCAAGGUGAUUAAAAGAAAGUGGUCGGAGCAUAGGUGGACUGGCCCCUACAAAGUCGUGGAACGGACGUCCCACGCCGUCAAACUCUAGGGAAAAGGUGACACAUGGUAUCACUGGAGUCAGUGUGCAGUGGCAGAGACACCUGCCCGAACACUGGAAGACAUAAGAGACAAUAAAAAAAAAAAAAAA